rnacentral:rRNA from 1 species
CGUAGGUGAACCUGCGGAAA